UCAUUGUGCACGAUUUUGUAAUCUCAAUUCAGUCGCCUUUUGCUCCUGCAGCUUUACGCAUAUUUCUAUUGUACAUUUUUACAAAGAUCCAUAUUAUCUGAAAUGGCUUAUCCUGGUGAUAUUUCCGAUCAGAUCACCGACAAAGAUCUGCAAGACUUUAUGAUGUUAGAGAAACAAAAGGCCCAGUUUAACUCUAAUGUUCAUGAGUUUAAUGAUAUGUGUUGGGAUAAGUGCGUAGAGAAACCUGCGAGUAAACUUGAUGGCCGCACGGAGGCUUGCCUCAAGAACUGUGUCGAUCGCUUCAUCGACGUCUCAUUCUUUAUUACAAAUCGAUUUAUACAGCAAGUCAAGAAGCGCAAGGCUGAACAUAUGGCUGAGCAAAUGUCUGAGCAAAAAUAAACACAUUUUCAGUUUUUUUUUCCAAAGUUAUCACCGCAUCUAAAUAUGUGAUAGAUAACUUCUCAAAAAUAAAAGAUUCACAGAAAUAUUUACUGCA